AGGAUUAUGAGUACAUGAAUGCCUCAUAAAACUCUUAAAGGAUACUUUGAAUAACUUACUUUAAAAUGGUAAGAUUAUCAAAGGACGUCUUAAAUCGGAAUACGUAGUUUUACUAAAAACCGUACCUUUAAAAUGGAUGGAAAUCGUGAACGAACUUUCGAUGAAAAAGGAUGGUCAAGAACAUGUGAUGUUGGACCAGAUGGAUGAAAGGGAUGUAUGAUCACAAAGGGAAAAAGAGAAAUGAUUUUUAAGUAUUUGAGUAACGAUUUUAGAAAUAUCGGAAACUAACGGAUUUUUAUUUUGGCAGUUACGAAGAUUUCGGUGUUCGAACCUUGAAACCAAACCACCCUUAGUUGACGAGUUAAAGCACGCUUCAUUAAGGUGAGAGAGAACACAUCGUGACAUAGUGGUGUCCGAAUAUGACACCCGGAUCUCCUAAACCAUCUUAAAAGUUUUGGAGUUAACUUGGGUGUUAAGAAACCUAAGAUUUUUAUGUUUGAAUGCUUUUGAAUAUAUAUAGUUGUUGAUGAAAUAUGUUGAAUAUUGUAUAUGAAUGUUGUUGAGAACUUUUCUGUGUAUAGGUGUUUGAAAAAUCAUGUUUAAAUGGGUUUCGAUUGUCGAAAAGGGCAAAUUUGAUAUUCUAUCCAAGUCCCUGUCGCUUGGGCGAGAAACUCUCGCCUGGGCGAGCACAGCCUCGCUUGGGCGAGGACCGGGCGAGGGGAAGUUUUGGUUCUGGAACUCCCUCGCCUGGGCGACAAAGUCUCGCCUGGGCGACAAAGUCUCGCUUGGGCGAGCAAGCCUCGCCUGGGCGAGUAAGGGCCUCGCUUGGGCGAGAACGCCCAGGAUUUGAAUGAGCCCUUGGAACUCCCUCGCUUGGGCGAGAGAUGUCUCGCUUGAGCGAGGAGAGGCCUCGCUUGCGCGAUAGUACCUUCGCCUUGACGAGAAAAGCUUCAGUUUAUUUGAGAUUUAAAGAUGAAUUGUCGCUUGAGCGACUAGUCCCUGCCUUGGCGAGGGACAGUGUGAAAAGAUUAAAAUGAAAUGAUGUUGUGAACAAUGUGAUGAACCCGGGUAGGGUGUUUUGUGAUAUAAAGGUUGUGGAAUGUGAUCAUGGCUUAGAUGAGAAGCAUGACUCCACAAAAGUAUGAAAGCAUUGUUUGUGUUUA
rnacentral:lncRNA from 1 species